CCUACGGGAGGCAGCAGUGGGGGAUAUUGCACAAUGGGGGGAACCCUGAUGCAGCGACGCCGCGUGGGUGAAGGAGUGCUUCGGCAUGUAAAGCUCUAUCGGCAGGGAAGAAGCAAGACGGUACCUGACUAAGAAGUCCCGGCUAACUACGUGCCAGCAGCCGCGGUAAUACGGAGGGGGCGAGCGUUAUCCGGAUUCACUGGGUGUAAAGGGAGCGUAGACGGCCAUGCAAGCCAGGGGUGAAAGCCCGGGGCCCACCCGCGGGACUGCCGUUGGAACUGGAUGGCUGGAGUGCGGGAGGGGCAGGCGGAAUUCGUGGUGUAGCGGUGAAAUGCGUAGAUAUUAGGAGGAACAUCAGUGGCGAAGGCGACUUUCUGGACUGUAACUGACGCUGAGGCACGAAAGUGUGGGGAGCAAACAGGAUUAGAUACCCGUGUAGUC
rnacentral:rRNA from 1 species